AAAAAAUCCCGAAAAAAAAAAAAGAACCGCAUUUCCUUUUUGACUUAAGAGGGAGAGAGAGAGAGAGAAGCGGAGGCUGGGGGCUGGUGGACGCAUCGAGCUAUUCCUCGUCCCGAUUGUGAACUUGGCAGCGGCUCUUUGGCUCGAACAACCCCAGUGGCCACUAACCAGGAACACCUGCUGGUUACCCGGAACGGGAGGGAGGAGAAGAUGGGCAUCUCCAGCGGAAUUCCAGCGCGGAAUAUGGAAGUGUUUAAAGGAAGACCUUCCGCAGCUCAGGGUAGCAGAGAUCUGAACCUUUAAAUUGCAGCCAUUCCCGGCCUGACGAUAAGUGAUUCACAGGCCUAGAUGACCUGUUUGAUGCUGGAGCUGGAUUUGAUUUGAAUCCUGGACUGUGAAGCCAUGCAGGGAUGUAUCUGUGGAUCUGGAUCACACUCAGAUCACUCCAUAGUUAAUUUUUAUGCGGACCAAAUGAAUUCUUGGGCUCUCUGGUGAAGGGAGAAAAGUAGGGAGUGAUUAACAGCAGGACCUCAGCUUCCUUCUCACUGAAUCAUGAGCUUUUCCUGAAGCCACGGUAGGAGCUGUGCUGGAAAUGGUGCCGUGGGAGUCUGCAUCCCAGGUCAGGAGACCAGACAUCAAAUCCCUGGUGCAUCUUGGCAGCUGGGAGCGCUCCAGCAAACCAGGAAUGCUCCAGCAGACCCUGACAAAGCUGCUGCUGGGAGCACAUCACCAGCGGUGCAAAUGGACAAUGUUUAGCACUUCUGGCUGCCCAAAAGACACCGUGGCCCAACCACCUGCUCUGGAUCUGCAGGCUGAGCUCCACAGGUGCUGCCAACACUUCCCAAGCCAUCACUGCUCUGGAAACAGGAAUUUCUCUCUUUUUCUGAACAAACUAUGGUGACCUGAAACACGACUGAUACUUGGGGCUUCUUGGGAGCAGCCCUGUCAGGGAGGGAGCUGAAGGAUAUUAAUUUUUGGGAUGAUAACAACAUCUUUUAAUGAAAGGGGAGGUUUGGCCUCCAAGGGCUUUGCCUUGGGGAGAGGGUGUGAAGGGGAGCAGCCCCUGAGCCCUGGGUUUGCCAUGCUGGCUGGAGGGCGUGAGAAGAACGGGGUUUGUACCUCUGCCAAGCCCUUCCCUGCUGCUCUUGGGGAAACCAAGCUGCAAAAAGCUCUUUCCUGCAGAGUGUCACAAGGAUUCUCUUCAACUUGGCUUCAGGAAAUGAUUCAAUUAUUUUCUUUUAUUUUUUAAAAAAUCUA